GACGAACCGUGCGAACGUUAUUCGGAAUCACUGGGCUUAAAGCGCGUGUAGGCGGUGCUGUCAGUCGGAGGUGAAAUCCCAUCGGCUCAACCGUGGAAUUGCCCCCGAUACUGCAGCACUUGAGGAAGGUAGGGGCCUGUGGAACUUCCGGUGGAGCGGUGAAAUGUGUUGAGAUCGGAAGGAACGCCAGCGGCGAAAGCGACAGGCUGGAUCUUUUCUGACGCUGAGACGCGAAAGCUAGGGUAGCGAACGGG
rnacentral:misc_RNA from 1 species